rnacentral:rRNA from 1 species
UACGGAGGGGGCUAGCGUUGUUCGGAAUUACUGGGCGUAAAGCGCACGUAGGCGGCUUUGUAAGUUAGAGGUGAAAGCCCGGGGCUCAACUCCGGAAUUGCCUUUAAGACUGCAUCGCUCGAAUUGUGGAGAGGUAAGUGGAAUUCCGAGUGUAGAGGUGAAAUUCGUAGAUAUCAGGAGGAACACCAAUGGCGAAAGCAGCUCGCUGGGACGGUACUGACGCUGAGACGCGAAAGCCAGGGGAGCGAACGGG